rnacentral:rRNA from 1 species
CAUCGAUGAAGAACGCAGCGAAAUGCGAUAAGUAAUGUGAAUUGCAGAAUUCAGUGAAUCAUCGAAUCUUUGAACGCACAUUGCGCCCCUUGGUAUUCCGAGGGGCAUGCCUAUUCGAGCGUCAUUAUCACCCCUCAAGCCUAGCUUGGUGUUGAGA